rnacentral:lncRNA from 1 species
AUCAAAGCAACAAGAAGCUAGGGCAGGGGAUUUAGAGGGCAAGCAAGCAUGGGCCAGGACUUUGACAGCAUUCAUCCAGCAGCAUGCGAACUCCAAAGAGAACCAGAUCUCCAAAGACAAAAGAGAGCCCAAUGAGGGGAGAAACCUUGACUCUCCAGUUGACCACUGUGUCUCUCGACACACGGCAUAUGGUGAAACGGUGUGAUGAGAGGCAUGGAAGGCCAUUACCUCAUUCACAGGAAUCUCAGCAUGGCUCUGCAACUUCAAAGAAGGCAGUUCGGGGAACAGCAGACACAGCUCCUUUGGAAAGAAUAUCUGCCACCCGAGGAUGGGCUCUGCCUAUGGAGGCAACAAUGAGUGUCUUCAGAGCCCAUCAGUGGCAGUGGAAUUAAUGAAGAAAGCAAUGGCAGGAAAAGUUGAAUAAAGCAGACCCUUCAUGGUAAAUCUGGUUGGUAAAUUGCCUGUGACCACAUGUGGGACAAUCACUGGAGGAACCCCAGUUACAUUUGGUCAGAGUGUGGGGAGGGGAACCUUCUCAGGAAAGAAAAUAGAGGUCCUGUUUUAGGAAAAAAAAUAAAGAUCAGAAACCUG